rnacentral:rRNA from 1 species
CCCCGGGCGGCCCGCCGGCGGACAAACCAAACUCUGUUAUCUUCGUUGAUUAUCUGAGUGUCUUAUUUAAUAAGUCAAAACUUUCAACAACGGAUCUCUUGGUUCUGGCAUCGAUGAAGAACGCAGCGAAAUGCGAUAAGUAAUGUGAAUUGCAGAAUUCAGUGAAUCAUCGAAUCUUUGAACGCACAUUGCGCCCAUUAGUAUUCUAGUGGGCAUGCCUGUUCGAGCGUCAUUUCAACCCCUAAGCACAGCUUAUUGUUGGGAAUCCACGCCUGUGGUUCCUCAAAGACAUUGGCGGAGUGGCAGUAGUCCUCUGAGCGUAGUAAUUCUUUAUCUCGCUUUUGUUAGGUGCUGCCCCCCCGGCCGUAAAACCCCCAAUUUUUUCUGGUUGACCUCGGAUCAGGUAGGAAUACCCGCUGAACUUAAGCAUAUCAAUAAGCGGAGGAAAAGAAACCAACAGGGAUUCCCCUAGUAACGGCGAGUGAAGCGGGAACAGCUCAAAUUUGAAAUCUGGCCCUCGGGUCCGAGUUGUAAUUUGUAGAGGAUGCUUUUGGUGCGGUGCCUUCCGAGUUCCCUGGAACGGGACGCCUUAGAGGGUGAGAGCCCCGUACGGUUGGACGCCUAGCCUCUGUAAAGCUCCUUCGACGAGUCGAGUAGUUUGGGAAUGCUGCUCUAAAUGGGAGGUAUAUUUCUUCUAAAGCUAAAUACUGGCCAGAGACCGAUAGCGCACAAGUAGAGUGAUCGAAAGAUGAAAAGCACUUUGAAAAGAGGGUUAAAUAGCACGUGAAAUUGUUGAAAGG